UGGGGAAUAUUGCACAAUGGGCGCAAGCCUGAUGCAGCCAUGCCGCGUGUGUGAAGAAGGCCUUCGGGUUGUAAAGCACUUUCAGCGGGGAGGAAGGCGAUAAGGUUAAUAACCUUGUCGAUUGACGUUACCCGCAGAAGAAGCACCGGCUAACUCCGUGCCAGCAGCCGCGGUAAUACGGAGGGUGCAAGCGUUAAUCGGAAUUACUGGGCGUAAAGCGCACGCAGGCGGUUGAUUGAGUCAGAUGUGAAAUCCCCGGGCUCAACCUGGGAACUGCAUCUGAUACUGGCAAGCUUGAGUCUCGUAGAGGGGGGUAGAAUUCCAGGUGUAGCGGUGAAAUGCGUAGAGAUCUGGAGGAAUACCGGUGGCGAAGGCGGCCCCCUGGACGAAGACUGACGCUCAGGUGCGAAAGCGUGGGGAGCAAACAGG
rnacentral:rRNA from 1 species